AGACAUCGUGCUUCUUCUGGUGGGCCAGGAGUCUCUCCUCGUCGUCGAAGGUCUGGCCACAGAUGGCACAGCAGAAGGCGCCGUCCCGGAUGUGGCUCUUGCGCCCCGGACAGGAGCUGCCAUCUAUGAACCCCUAGAGCCCCGGACAUGGAGCUAGACUACUCUCCUGUUUCCUUGUGUGUGCCUUAUGCUGCCCUCUCCCUGUGUCUGCUGUUUCCUAUGCCACAUCCGAGCUGCACAGCAACUCUGAGAAGCUGGACAAACAGACACUGAGCUCCCUGUUUAACAGAUGAAGCAACUGUGAGACAUCAAAGAUGACGAGACCUGCCCAAGGUGACACAAAAGAAAAUGAGUGGCAAAGGAGUUGCGAAGGGAUUCCUGAGCCUUUAUGCCAGCUGGAAGCUUAAGGCCUUGGUAUUUGAGACUUCACCCUUCAAAAUGUCUUGGAGGAUGGCCCAGCAACCAGCCAAAUGGCCCAAUGGCCUAGCCCAGUGGAGACGGUCUCAGCUUUUGACAAGCUAGCCGGAGAAAGGGCUGGACAGGAAGGGGCCCACUGGACAGCGAAUAUUGAUAGGGCCCCUGGGAGGAUCAAUUUUCCCCUCCAACAGUGCCUGGCUCCCAUUAUCAGAUUAGAUGCAAAGUGGGCUGGCAUGCCAGGGGGUGACAGGAACAGUGUCUCCAGAAAUCCUCUGUGAAGACACCCAAGUAUUGUUCAGAAGUGGCCCUGUAUCUGGAAGAGGGAAAACUGCACCCACUUCUUGCAGACAUACAGUUCCAGCUCCCCCCACAGGACUUGCUCAUACAUCCAACAAAUAUUUAAUCAGUGCCCACCAUCUGCCACUGUGCCAGGUGCCCGGCCUCAUCAUGAGUCAGGCAGAGGUGGUCUGUGCAGUUUUCCCACAAUGUGAGAGGGUGCUGAGAAGACUUUUAACGCUUAUUUAACUACGGAAAUAACUCUUGGUUUGGUACCUACUACAAAAUAAAAACAAGCGCUUGUUGAUAAUUUCUGGAUGGAUGACUGUGGAAAGCUGGAGGAGACUGAGGAUCAAUUUGCUCUAAUGAACCUUCCCUUGACUAUCAUCUCCGUUACCUCCUGCCGCAUCCCUACGGCAAAUAUGCAAGACUCUCACGCAGCUAAUUUCCAGGGGUUUGCAGUCUGGGGAGGAAGCAGAAAGCACAUCCCUCACUGACCCUGAGGAGGGGCAAAUCUCUGGUAGCAGUCACAGGUACGUGCUGUACACACUUCCCAUCCUUUGAGCCUUCCCAGCUGGAGAGCACCAAGAGAACGCAGUUGGGGAGGCCCCGAAAGAUGAAGGGUUGUUGAGCUUGAAGGCAGUGAAAAAGUAAAUGGAAGAAAGCUCUCUGCCCUCCACUGCCUAAAUGCAGGAUAUAGAUUUAGAAGGAUAAAAGGGGUCUGCUCCCUCUCUCGACCAGGGAAAAGUUAACCACUGAAGACAACUUUAGACUCUUAUGGGCCUGGAGCUGGAACCAGAGGAAUGGACAUGAAGGCGCUUUACUAACUCUAUUUAUCUGCCAGUUACUUACCUUUCUACAAGUUCUCCCCUUAGACACUCAAAGUUCUUUUCCUUUGUCCUGUCGCUUCCCUAAAACUUGGCUUUUCUUUGUUGAAGAUGCUAUACAAGCUGGAAUUCAAAGCUACCACUUUGAGAACUACUCAAUUCCUGCGUGUCUCCCAGGCAGAUGUGAAAUACACAUGUUAAUAAACUUCCACUGGUUUUUCUCUUGUUAA
rnacentral:lncRNA from 1 species